GGCGGGGUACCCAAGCGGUCAACGGGGACCGGCUGUAAACCGGUUGGCUCAGUCCUUCGCAGGUUCGAAUCCUGCCCCCGCCA
rnacentral:tRNA from 1 species